GAGUUUGAUCCUGGCUCAGGAUGAACGCUGGCGGCGUGCUUAACACAUGCAAGUCGAACGGGGAUGCCAUUUUCGAGGUGAUUAGUUUACUAAGAGCCAAGAUGUUGGCAUCUUAGUGGCGGACGGGUGAGUAACGCGUGGGUAACCUGCCUUAUACAGGGGGAUAACACUUAGAAAUAGGUGCUAAUACCGCAUAAGCGCACGGGGCUGCAUGGCCCAGUGUGAAAAACUCCGGUGGUAUAAGAUGGACCCGCGUCUGAUUAGCUUGUUGGCGGGGUAACGGCCCACCAAGGCGACGAUCAGUAGCCGGCCUGAGAGGGUGGACGGCCACAUUGGGACUGAGACACGGCCCAAACUCCUACGGGAGGCAGCAGUGGGGAAUAUUGGACAAUGGGGGGAACCCUGAUCCAGCGACGCCGCGUGAGUGAAGAAGUAUUUCGGUAUGUAAAGCUCUAUCAGCAGGGAAGAAAGAAAUGACGGUACCUGACUAAGAAGCCCCGGCUAACUACGUGCCAGCAGCCGCGGUAAUACGUAGGGGGCAAGCGUUAUCCGGAUUUACUGGGUGUAAAGGGAGCGUAGACGGUUACGCAAGUCUGGAGUGAAAGGCGGGGGCCCAACCCCCGGACUGCUUUGGAAACUGUAUAACUGGAGU
rnacentral:rRNA from 1 species